GUUCAAAAGAGUCCGAGGGCAGGCUCCCUUGUGGAGAUUUGAUAUCCCACAUCGGGGGUUGGGGUUGGGGUUUGUUGGGUUAUAAGUCCCUGGGACAUGCUCAAGAGUUGCCGGCUUUUGAGUACUGUUCUGGGAUUAGGUUUAUAAUUUCGGUAAAAGUCAAUUCAGACUGUCGAAAAAAAAAAAGAAUAUUUCUAAAAUACAUUAAUAAUAUUAUCUACAGUUGAUUGUGUUUAUUGAAACUAAACAAGCCUCAAAAACACUCUAGUACCGUCAGUACUAAACAAGCCAUUAUGCAUCCUACUGUCGUUGUUGUUUUUUUCACUAUAGAGUGGGGUACCCCUUUUGUACUAAAACAAAUUGAGAUCGACGAAGAUUAUUGUCCGUCAAUCUGCCGAAAUAUUUCCCCAAGAACAAAAAGCACAUAUAUCAUAUCAUAUCAUAUUGUAUCAUAACCGAAAAAAAAUUAAUGAAAAAAAAAAAAAGAAUCAGCCCACCGCCACGGCAGGCAGGCCACCAACAAAUAAAAAACCCACGCCUCAGUCCUCCCCCUUGGAGUUCCUCCUCUUCGCCCCUUGCACUCCCAGCAGCCCAGAUAGUGGAAAAUGCUACUACUAAUACCUUGCGAAAAGAUGGAGAGAACAAGCAGCACGGCAACAAACACCGCUCUGCUAUGCAGUAUGCAGCUGUGUACAUUAACCACCAUUUUGCAGUGGGGAGUGGUGGGGAGUACUACUUGGUUGCUUUCUUACUGGCUUGCUGCAGCUGGCUCAGCAGACAUCAUGAACCGUAACAUCCAUCAUCAAUCUAUGUGCAUUUUUCAUUCUGACUUGAUUCUUUCCUCUCCUUCUCUUCUUUACGGUUUUCUUUUUUGGUUGUAGAUCUUUAAGUCGCUUUCUUUUCCCUGAUUCUCAUGCCGAAAGCGACCUAUCAUAUCCUCCUCCUCCUCCUCUCUGAUUUAAUAUUGCGGUCUUCCGUAUUUCAUGCGACCGCCCUUCUUAUAGGCAUAUGCUGAUGCCUGUAUGUUUUGAGUUUCCGGGUCUCCUUUUCUGCUUCCUUCCUCUACACAUCUUUUGAACUGACCAUCUUUUUAUCCCUUCCGUUGAGGGUUUUGCCGGUUCUUUUCUAUUCAACCCAACUCUCAUCCACAGAGGCUUAUAUAUGCCCCUAAUCUGGUGUUCAAAAGUUAGGUAAAUUUAGGCAUCACAAAAAGCUUAGGGUUUCCAUCCAAAAUUUCUGGCCACAAGUAUUCCGAGUAUCAGUUUUGGUAGUAUAUUUACUUUACUACUGCUGGUUUAUGAGUCUAUUGUUUUAGAGAGCGUUCAUUUGUAUCACUCUAUAUAGUUUGAAUAACUUGGGCUGAGUCCUACCGUCUCUCCUGUUCUCGUCUGCAUUAGCCUCUUCUUCUUUUGUUCUAGUAAUGGCCAGCUAUUGAUUUUCUGGUUCCUUUGUGGCUUUGAUGAUUUACGGUAUGUGGAAAAUAUUACGGCUCUCGACUUCUUUCUUCCUUUUAACUCUUAUUUCAAUCUCAUUACUCAGGUUAGGGUUGCAUAACUGUUGACUCUGCCCGGUAAUAAUAAGAAUGUUUACUUAGAUGAAUGUUAAGUUUAUUUGCAAUAAGGGAUUAAAAGGGAAAAAAAAAGUUUUGACUCCAUGUUUCUUUGGUCUCCACAAGCAUUGACCCCAUGGCUGUAGUACUACGUAGUUCUGUUUCCUUUUUACUUCUAGAUUUCAGGCAAAUCGCUUUAUGAUUGAUGUUGCUUCCUAGCACUCCUUGCUAGUAAUUAGGUUCCAAUUUCACCAUGUCUUAAGAAUAAAGGCCGUUUUAGAUUUAUGUUCAUCAGCUGCUCAAAGUGCCAGCCUUUUGAGCUUUGUUCUGGGAUGAGUAAUGUUAGUAUCACUUCCCGAUAAUUUUUGUAUUUGGGGUUCACUUUUCUCCAUUAUGCCAAUUAUUGUGAGCUAUCCUUUGUAUUGUAGUUUGGCCAUUGUGUAAUUGGAUUGUGCAUGAAGAACAAGAUGUAAAUUUGAAUUUCCUGCGGCUGCUUUUUGAACUUAUUGCAUUUCAUGUGUUCCUUGAAGCCUUGUAAAGAAACAAAAUAAGAUCAGUUUAUUUGCAUUUCAGCACAACUACUUCAAAAUAAGAUCAGGUUAUUUGCAUUUCAGCACAACUACUUCAAGCCCGAAGAAGCCUGUUGCUUUAUAAUUGAUCUUCUCCUUUUAUGUUAAAUCUGUUUCGCACCUGUGUGGUUUAUGCCGGUUGCUGGUGAUGACAUAAACAGCAGCGUUAAUCGAUCCUUGGACUUUACGUUGAUGUCUGGAUAGAAUUUAAAAGUUGUCCUUCUGUUCAAUGUGAAUGAUGGAUGAAAGGUUCCCGUUAGGUUUCUUGGUUAAAUGGAUGCAGACUUAACAAAAUUUUAAUAUGGUUUAAUUAUCAUUGAGAGGUGAAGGAGGAUCAAAUUGGUCAUAUAAUGACUUGCUGGUCAUUUUCAAUCAUUGGGGAAUUUGAUACAUAUUGAGCAGCUGAGUGAUGCGAUUAAUAGUGUGACUAAUAGCAGCUGAAUGGUGUCAUUAGGAAAUUGUGUGAGAGAGCUUCCUUCAGCCCACUCAUGGAUGAGAUCAGGGGUUGAAUUAGCUGCCGACUCAUUCACUUAACCACUCAGUAGAAAGAUAAGAUUUGUGCUACUGUGGUUGAGUGAAUGAUGCGGGAGAUAAUUUUCUACCGGCUCCGUCUGUGCUUGGACUGAAGGGAGCUCCCUCCUGGUGUUGCCUUUACUAUUCUCUGAUCCAAAUGUUUCCUACUGUGUACUUGUUUUGAAAUGUCAAGCUUAUUUUUCUCCCCACCCUGAUUAGAACAUCUUACUGUUCGUUAACAUGGCUUGUCUCAUGAGCUUCUGAGGGCUUAUUACUACUUUUUUCCAUUUCCCAUUUAUUGGAGAACUGCUUUCACGCAGGACUAUCUAUAUAUAUAUAUAUAUAUUUUUAUAAAUUCGUCCUUGGUCAGAUCCUUGAGUUCUGGUCAAACUGGUAUGCUUUCUUCUGGCAUGUAAUUCUGCUUGACGUACGGGCUAUCAAAAUUACAGAUGUUACUAGUCAUUUACUGCAAUCCACCACCGCACCUUUCAUCUUUAACCAUUCUCCUUUUGCACUCCAGAUGUUAGGUUUUGAGUUGACCGCGGUCUUAGCAUGAUUGUAGAGCACUGCAAAUUAUAUCCCCGCAGUGAAGUGAUUGUGGUGUGUGUUGUACCGGCUGGCUUUAACAGGCAUACUCCCUCAGAAACAUGUUACCGAGGGGCCUGCCAUGCAACCUGUGAAUUGUCAUGUCCUCUCCUGCAAUGUGUCAGCUAAUUUAAGUGGGUAUGUUCCGGUAAUGGAGUACUUUACUUUGCAGGAGUAGAGAAACCACUAUGGGAGGGGCAUUUGCUCUCUUUGUCCCUAAAUCAUUUUGGACCCUUGAAGGGCAUGGGCAUGGGGAUGGGAUGAUAGCACUCGAGCUAUCCUAAUAGAGAGAGAGACUGCAUCAGUUGCUGCUCUUGGUUAAAUUUUUAAUCCCAUUUCCAUGAGUUCUGUCUAAAAUUGUCAGGUUCCUUUGGGUAGCUGAUGAGUUGGGAGGAGGAUUCUAACAUCAAGUUUUGCAGGGAAAUGUCGCAUACUGGAGUUUGUUUCAAUAUAUAGCUUUCUCUCCAGUCCAGUUAUCGCUAGCAAAACCUCCUCCUCGUCAUCUGGAAAGAAAUAGAAAGGAAAAAAGACUUCCACUUGCAGGUUUUUUGUUCCUCUACCUAUCGAUAAAGGAGAAGCAUGAUAUGAUCCCCCUGGUAUUAUGAUUCUCUUUGCAUGGCUCAUCACCGACUGCAUAACAGUACCUUAAUAAAGCUGCUUGCUGCAUUUCAUUUCUGAAAAGAACCUUCUUGAUUUGUGGAAGAUGAUCUCCUUAGUUGUUGUAUAUAUCAGAUAAGGUGUGUACUUUUGUAGCAAGUUGGCGAUGAAAGUAGUAGUAUAUAGUAUAUUAUGAUGUACAAGUACCAUAGGGCCUGGAGCUAAACUCACUUCCACUUUGCUUUAACUUGUUGGGAAAGUACGCUUGUGCCUUUUUUUAAUUUAGUAUUAAUAAGCCGAGAGCAUCGGUGGUGUUUGUUUUGUUGUU